UUUUUUUUUGAGCCUGGGCUAAGGUUUGUGAUGGGUGAAUGAAUCAAACCAGAGAGAAAAAGGGCUUUUUUUGGUGAUAUGAUAUAUUUUAGCUUUACGUCGAACUGAGCUUUUGUAGGUCACCAAUGUAGCAACCGGCAAUCCAAUUUAUCGUCAUUCAUCAUUUUUGAAGUCUUUUGUUCUUUGUUGUUACCUUUUUCAAAUAUGUAGUGUCCCUACAAUGAACUCUCUUUAAAUGGGUGGUUAUAAGUGGUGUACAAAAUCAGAGUAUCACUUUUGAUGGCUAUGAAUAUGCCAGAUAUCUCGUGAUUUGGAGUUUCUUAUAUAUUCAUAUUUAUGGUUCAUUGAAAAGUUCAUUGGAAUACAUCUUCAGUUGAGUUUUGCUUUUAACCCUUGCUCAUCUUGAGGAAACUUUUUGUUAUAUUCCAAUAGAUGGUUCUAUGAGAUAACCCUGAAUCUGAUAAGUGAGCUCCUCCUUAUGAGUAGAGCUUUGUUGAUAUUAUCGACAUUGAUAUCAUGAUGAAAUUAGGUUAUAUUGAAUGCUUUUCCUAAGUGAUCUCUUUCAACUUCUAAGAACCUUGGGCAAAAGAUAAUUAAUAUCAACUUUUAAGAAUGCUUUUAAGAAAGUGAAUGAAGAGAAAUGAGAGGAAUAUUGUAUUUUAUUCAAUAAACAAGUGUGUCUUAUUACCGUCAAAGAGCCUCUUUCUAUAGAUUAUAAAUUACAUUGAAAAAGGAAAAUUACAACUAGGAAGGAAAACUAGGAUUUCCUUUUAAAAAAGGUGACAAACUCAACUAUCUUACCAAAAUCAGUAAAACGCAAUAAUGGAAAAUUCUAUUCUAAUUGAUUUGAUAUCAUUUACGCCUGGAAUAUAUUUUCCAUUUUGCAUCACUCACAUUUUGUAGAAAUAGGUUUUGAUUUCUACAUUUCUGAAUGCUUUCCUGAAGUUGGAAAAUUUCAGUCUUGUAUCUGCAUGGAAUUGGAAUCAAAUACAUUUGAAUUUUUAUAUACUUGAGCAAGAGAAAAAUACAGCUUGCGAAUUUUUUACAGCCUCAUACAAAAUUUCACACACACACUGAUGGUAAUCUUAAAAUGAC
rnacentral:lncRNA from 1 species